GCCCAGCAGUGCUGUGGGUCUCAGAACACAGAGCUCUGGGCAUCUUCACCAUGGCCUGGACCCUUCUCCUGCUCCCCCUCCUCACUCUGUGCACAGGAUCCAUGGUUGCCAGUGAGCUGAUUCAGCCACCCACGGUGUCAGUGGCCCUGGGACAGACAGCUACAAUCACCUGCUCUGGACCGGAGGAUAAUUAUGCAAACUGGUACCAGCAGAAGCCAGGCCAAGCCCCCGUGCUGGUCAUUUAUGGGGGUAGUGUGCAGCCCACGGGGAUUCCUGACAGAUUCUCUGGCUCAAACUCGGGGAACACAGCCACCCUGACCAUCAGUGGGGCCCAGGCCGAGGAUGAGGCUAACUAUUACUGUCAAACCUAUGACAGCAGUAGUGAUGCACACAGUGACACAGGCAGAUGGGGAAGUGAGACACAAACCCCUUGUCUGUCUGUGUCACACUGUCCUCCAGCCCCUGACAACUCUGCAUAA